ACGGUGCCUAGGGAGAGAUCGCUGAACGCAAAUGAGUAUAUAAAAGGGAGAUAUAUUAGUUUCAUUAUUUUUAAUGUUAAAUGCAUUAACACAGCAAAUCUGUUAUUUGUUUUACACAUUUAUACAUGCAUCAGAUUUGUGUCACUGCUCUGUUAAAUUAUAUCUGCUGCUAACGACCCUUACAUAAUUUACAUUAAUAAGACGACGAAUUUUAAUACGCCGACGACACAGUUCUGUUUUUUUCACUAACGGGUGAUAACAGGCCCCAUUUCUAGACAGUUACGUGUUAUUGAUUUGUCAAGGUAAAGUCCUCGACAAAGCCAGGGUCAUAUGAGGACAAGUGUCGACGUGGCACAGACGGAACGAGGAAGUAUAUAGACAAAAAGAAAAAGUUUUCAAGACACAGAUUUGCGACAAAAUCUCAAUGAGUUCACGACAAUAUGACGGCUUUGAUCAGGAUUACGAACCUCAAAUAUUCCCACCAGUAGGGGCCAGUGGUUAUCCAUCACCCUAUAGCCAGCCAUUGACACAUACAGUGUUUGACGUCCUCGAAGGAGCAAAUGUCAGACCUGCUACCAUUGUAUCCGUCUGCAUAAUCGAAGCACUGAGACUGAAGCAGGGCAACUGUAGAAUCUGAUUUUCUUCUGUGAGACAUUUGAGAAAAUAAAUUUGUAUAUG